AACACAUGCAAGUCGAACGAUGAUCCCAGCUUGCUGGGGGAUUAGUGGCGAACGGGUGAGUAACACGUGAGUAACCUGCCCUUGACUCUGGGAUAAGCCUGGGAAACUGGGUCUAAUACCGGAUACGACCAUCUGGCGCAUGUCAUGGUGGUGGAAAGCUUUUGUGGUUUUGGAUGGACUCGCGGCCUAUCAGCUUGUUGGUGGGGUAAUGGCCUACCAAGGCGACGACGGGUAGCCGGCCUGAGAGGGUGACCGGCCACACUGGGACUGAGACACGGCCCAGACUCCUACGGGAGGCAGCAGUGGGGAAUAUUGCACAAUGGGCGCAAGCCUGAUGCAGCGACGCCGCGUGAGGGAUGACGGCCUUCGGGUUGUAAACCUCUUUCAGUAGGGAAGAAGCAUAAGUGACGGUACCUGCAGAAGAAGCGCCGGCUAACUACGUGCCAGCAGCCGCGGUAAUACGUAGGGCGCAAGCGUUAUCCGGAAUUAUUGGGCGUAAAGAGCUCGUAGGCGGUUUGUCGCGUCUGCUGUGAAAGACCGGGGCUCAACUCCGGUUCUGCAGUGGGUACGGGCAGACUAGAGUGCAGUAGGGGAGACUGGAAUUCCUGGUGUAGCGGUGAAAUGCGCAGAUAUCAGGAGGAACACCGAUGGCGAAGGCAGGUCUCUGGGCUGUAACUGACGCUGAGGAGCGAAAGCAUGGGGAGCGAACAGGAUUAGAUACCCUGGUAGUCCAUGCCGUAAACGUUGGGCACUAGGUGUGGGGGACAUUCCACGUUUUCCGCGCCGUAGCUAACGCAUUAAGUGCCCCGCCUGGGGAGUACGGCCGCAAGGCUAAAACUCAAAGGAAUUGACGGGGGCCCGCACAAGCGGCGGAGCAUGCGGAUUAAUUCGAUGCAACGCGAAGAACCUUACCAAGGCUUGACAUGAACCGGAAAGACCUGGAAACAGGUGCCCCGCUUGCGGUCGGUUUACAGGUGGUGCAUGGGUUGUCGUCAGCUCGUGUCGUGAGAUGUUGGGUUAAGUCCCGCAUCACUAGUGAAUUCGCGGGCGGCCUGCAGUUGGCACCCWWUYUUGGGGGAGCUCCACGCGUGAUGCAUAGCUGGACUAUCUWACKAACGAGGG
rnacentral:rRNA from 1 species